CAACCAAUGUUUAUGGCCCGAGUGCUCUGUGCUUGGGAUGGGCAGCGAGCAAAAUACCUCUGGCCUGCUUUCAUCCUAGCGUAGGGGCAGAUGAGUGUUCACGUGGGCCUCGGGAGGUGAUGUCGCAGAAAGGAACAUGGAGCUGUGCCAUGAAAAAUGGGAGGCAACAGAGGCAGGCAGGCCAGGGAGAGCCUGGGGGCAGAUGAUGGCACGGAGCAGGGCGAGAGCUGUGGGAGGAAGUGGUCAGCCUCUCGGCAUGUUUGCAGGGACCAUGGAGAGGAUUUGUGGAUGGUGCAACUGUGGCACAUGGAGAGAAGAACAGGGGUCAAGAUGGCUCCUGAAUCUUUGUCUUGAGCCAGCGCAAGGAUGGACUUGCCCUGUUCAUUUUUGGGUACGAUCACUUGGAAAAGUAUGUGCAAGGUGAGCUGUUGAGAGACUCUGAUGUAAGGACUGCAGUCCUGGAGUAUGGGCAGUUCUCUUCUGUUUUUCAGUGAAAUAAGCAGCAAAGCUUGCAGAUGGGAACGAGGAAGGGCAGGGAUGCUGAGGAAUCAAGGCGGCAUGGCUGGAAGACACUGUGACCCCACAAAGUUCUUGGAUGGGAAUUUUACAUGAGACCGGACAGCUUGGUUGGGUCAUUCACCCUGUGGUCCCUGAGAUGGUUUGGGGAUUGAAAAGCGCUCUGAGUCAUUUGGACAGUGCAACUAUUUCUAACUCUGCAAAUGACUAUUCCCAAAUAGUCCUGGGUCUUGUCAGGGUAGCUGCCUCAUUGCUUUAGUGACAGGAGAAUCCAUCUGUGGUGGCACUUCUGGCAUUGUGAGAUGGGGGAGUGGACGCAAGGGGGAGGUUUAUGUCGUGCACUUGAGAUCUCGGCUGUAAAUUAACUCCUUGUCGUUCCCUUCCUCUCCUGCCACCUUUCGGGUAUAUGACAAGCGGCACAGGUCUGACGUGGGAGGCCAUUUCUGUCUGCACAGCUGCGGAUCUCUCGUGAUUACUAAGAGUCUGAGCAAAGGAGCAGAAGAGAGUCUGUGGGAAAAAAAGGGCUGAUUCCUGAUCUUGACCAUCGUUCAGCAGACCUGUUCUAUCAAGGGCCAGAAAGUGAAUACUUAUGCUUUGUGGGCCAUAGACUUCGGUGGCGACCUCUCAACUCAGCCCUGGUAAUGCAGAAGUAGCCACAGGUCAUGUAUAAGCAGAUGAGCGAGGCUGCGCCCCAGCAGCACUUACUUAUAAAACAGUAGCUAAAUUUUGGGAAGCUCCUAUUGCCUUGACUUGAUGUCAUCUAAAGAAAAAGAACAUCGACCAUGAAGGCUCACCAGCAGGCCACAACUCUGUCCAUACCACCCACACUCCGGUUCUAGUUGUCAUUGUCCUCUGUAACACAAGAGGUGUGUCCAGCUGGAAGAGGACACUCGAGCUGGCUUCACCCUGAACUGAACGUGAAGAGUCUCUGGUGUCACACCGUGGGUCCACCACUCCAGAGUGACAAAAGCCCAUCUCUCGGAUGAAGAGCCAUACCAGUGGGAAAUGCAUCUGCCAAACCCUGCAGAUGCACUCUGGCUUCGACUCCGACAAGACCCUACCGAUGGACGGACACUUGCUCGCCAUGACCCCUCGUUCUCACCAGCACGAUACCCUCAUCCUAGGGGUCGGAGCCUACCCUUCUGACUGGACUUUCCCCAGAGACUUGCCAUUGUUGUGGCUUACGGAAUGACUCAAGUAUUUUACCGCCCUUACUUGUCCACAGGUUUUAUCUGCUGUCGGGCUAGCCACGAUGGCGCCCUUUAAGGUUGUGGACCCCACUUUCAUACACCCUCUACUGUCACCUCUGAAGCACACUGCACUAUAGUUUUCUUGACUCCAGUCAGUCCUGGUCUUUGGCUCCCCUCACUGCCUUCAGCUUGCCCGACCCAGCGAGGGGCAGGGGGCAAACUCUCCCGUUACCGUAACCGGCAAACGGUUCCCUUGGUUCUCCCCUCCUCAUUGGCCUCCUCUUUAUGCUCCUCACCGUAGCAUUUAGUCCUUGUAUUUUUAAUGCCAUCACCAGGUUUACCACUGCACCAAUUGCCGGGCUCAGAUUCCAGAUGCUCCUUACUCACUACUGCCCCGUAGAUAAUAUAGACGAUGCCCUCUAAACCAGGUGUUUAAAGGGGCAUCAAAGGGGGGAAUGAAAAGGAAAAUCCGUGUUCUGAGGCAGCUGACCAAUCCAGGGGAAUCCCAGUCCCAACCCCAGGGUCAUUCCAGGUUCCCCCCUAGCCCCGCCGACUGCCGCCCCAAGAGUGGCUCAGAUACGGAAGUACAAAUGUAUAAAUGACCCCCUUUGUUUGUGCUCGGGGCCCAGACCUUGAGCGAUUACUCUCUUCUGGGCCCACUGGUGUGAAAUAAACCUCCUCCAAGGUC